rnacentral:rRNA from 1 species
GCUGGCAGCUAGCUCUCUGCAACUCUCAUAUGGUCGCCCACUGUAGCUAAGCAGGGCUGCACCUGGUCUUUACCUUGAUGGGAGACCACAUGAUAAAAGCUAGGUUGAUGCUGGAA